UCAGAACUGCAGCAGAUCAUGACCACUGGGGGAGCCACUGACUGCAUUUUCCUGAGACACUAGGACAACCCCACCCUCCUGCUGGGGACCUGAAAUCCCAGCUUACAGAGCACUUCCGGCCUCCGUGUGAGGCAGCCCAACCGUUAGGAUGCUGCUCCUGAGAUGCUUCUCCUUCUCCUGCCUCUGGAUUUUUGGUCUUGGGCAGUUGGAGCAACCUGAAAUAUCGGUCACCAGAGUGACAGAUGAGAGUGCCCAAAUUUCCUGUAUAGUUUCUCUUCCAGACUUCAACACAGCAGAUAUACAUUGGUACCGGCAAAAAACAAAUCAACAGUUUGAGUAUCUAAUGUAUGUCAGGUCAAGAUACAAUCAACGCCCCUUAGAAGGGAAGAACAAGAAAAUUGAAGCAAGUAAAGAUUUUCAAACUUCUACUUCAACCUUGAAAGUAAAUUACUUGAAGAAAGAGGAUGAAGCUACCUACUACUGUGCGCUCUGGACGGGCACAUCAUGGUUCAAGAUAUUUGCCAAAGGAACAAAGCUCGUAGUAAUUCCCCCAGACAAACGCAUUGACUCCGACAUUUCUCCCAAGCCUACUAUGUUUCUUCCUUCUGUUGCUGAAACAAAUCUCCAUAAGGGCGGGACAUACCUUUGUCUCCUUGAAAAUUUCUUUCCUGACAUCAUAAGGGUGUACUGGAAAGAAAAGGAUAGUGAUAAGAUUCUGGAAUCUCAAGAGGGAAACACCAUGAAAACUAAUGACAGAUACAUGAAAUUAAGUUGGCUGACGGUGACUGAAGAUUCAAUGGAUAAAGAACAUAGUUGUAUUGUCAAACAUGAAAAGAACAAAAGAGGAGUUGACCAAGAGAUUCUGUUUCCUCCUACAGGUAAAGCUGCCAACAACAUUACUCCCACAGAAGCUGCUUUGAAGACUGAGAGUGCUUUCACAACUAUUACUGUUAAUCCCAAAGAGAGUGUUUUGAGACUUGGAAAUGUUACCAAUGCUACUGAUCUGGAAGCUUACUUGAAAGGAAGAAAGGAUGUGCUGCAGCUUCAGGUCACCACCACCUAUGCAUUCUACACCUACCUCAUCCUGUUUGUCAAGAGCGUGGUCCACUUGGCCUUCGUUGCAUUCUGUCUGUUCAGAAGAGCACCCAUGCCUUGUGAUGGUCAACAUUCAUAAGAGAUCAUCAUCCCUUAUGAAACAGGAGGGUCCUGCUAUCGGCAUCCUUCCUGCAUCUCAAUAUCUGCUGAGGGUCUAGCUGGGCUUGCUUGCUGGCUUUGACCUCAAGGACACAUAUGUGUGGGUUUUGUAUCAUUACUAUUGUUCUCACAGCAGAGAGGAAACUGAUCAACCUCACUCUUCAACAAACAGUAGCUUCCAAGCAUCCAGCCACCCCAACCCACCC